rnacentral:rRNA from 1 species
GGGCAGGCUUAAAUGGCAGUUCGACGGGGAAUGCAUUUUCGAGGUGAUUAGUUUACUAAGAGCCAAGAUGUUGGCAUCUUAGUGGCGGACGGGUGAGUAACGCGUGGGUAACCUGCCUUAUACAGGGGGAUAACACUUAGAAAUAGGUGCUAAUACCGCAUAAGCGCACGGGGCUGCAUGGCCCAGUGUGAAAAACUCCGGUGGUAUGAGAUGGACCCGCGUCUGAUUAGCUGGUUGGCGGGGUAACGGCCCACCAAGGCGACGAUCAGUAGCCGACCUGAGAGGGUGACCGGCCACAUUGGGACUGAGACACGGCCCAAACUCCUACGGGAGGCAGCAGUGGGGGAUAUUGCACAAUGGGGGAAACCCUGAUGCAGCAACGCCGCGUGAGUGAAGAAGUAUUUCGGUAUGUAAAGCUCUAUCAGCAGGGAAGAAGAUGACGGUACCUGAGUAAGAAGCCCCGGCUAACUACGUGCCAGCAGCCGCGGUAAUACGUAGGGGGCAAGCGUUAUCCGGAUUUACUGGGUGUAAAGGGAGCGUAGACGGUGAGACAAGUCUGAAGUGAAAGCCCGGGGCUCAACCCCGGGACUGCUUUGGAAACUGCCUGACUGGAGUGCUGGAGAGGCAAGCGGAAUUCCUAGUGUAGCGGUGAAAUGCGUAGAUAUUAGGAAGAACACCAGUGGCGAAGGCGGCUUGCUGGACAGUAACUGACGUUGAGGCUCGACAGUGUGGGGAGCAAACAGGAUUAGAUACCCUGGUAGUCCACACUGUAAACGAUGGAUACUANGUGUANGGUGUAUUAAACAUUCUGUGCCGCCGCAAACGCAUUAAGUAUCCCACCUGGGGAGUACGACCGCAAGGUUGAAACUCAAAGGAAUUGACGGGGGCCCCACACAGCAG